UACAGAGGGUGCGAGCGUUGUUCGGAAUUAUUGGGCGUAAAGGGCGCGUAGGCGGUGCGGUAAGUCACCUGUGAAAUCUCCUGGCUCAACUGGGAGCUUGCAGGCGAAACUGCCGUGCUGGAGUGUGGGAGAGGUGCGUGGAAUUCCUGGUGUAGCGGUGAAAUGCGUAGAUAUCUGGAGGAACACCUGUGGCGAAAGCGGCGCACUGGACCACAACUGACGCUGAGGCGCGAAAGCUAGGGGAGCAAACAGG
rnacentral:rRNA from 1 species